rnacentral:rRNA from 1 species
AACGAACGCUGGCGGCAUGCCUAACACAUGCAAGUCGAACGAAACCUUCGGGUCUAGUGGCGCACGGGGGCGUAACGCGUGGGAACCUGCCCUUAGGUUCGGAAUAACUCCCCGAAAGGGGUGCUAAUACCGGAUAAUGUCUUCGGACCAAAGAUUUAUCGCCUUUGGAUGGGCCCGCGUUGGAUUAGCUAGUUGGUAGGGUAAAAGCCUACCAAGGCGACGAUACAUAGCUGGUCUGAGAGGAUGAUCAGCCACACUGGGACUGAGACACGGCCCAGACUCCUACGGGAGGCAGCAGUGGGGAAGAUUGGACAAUGGGCGAAAGCCUGAUCCAGCCAUGCCGCGUGAGUGAUGAAGGCCUUAGGGUUGUAAAGCUCUUUUAUCCGGGAUGAUAAUGACAGUACCGGGAGAAUAAGCCCCGGCUAACUCCGUG